rnacentral:rRNA from 1 species
UGGGCGUAAGGGCUCGCAGGCGGUUUCUUAAGUCUGAUGUGAAAGCCCCCGGCUCAUCCGGGGAGGGUCAUUGGAAACUGGGAAACUUGAGUGCAGACUAGGAGAGUGGAAUUCCACGUGUAGCGGUGAAAUGCGUAGAGAUGUGGAGGAACACCAGUGGCGAAGGCGACUCUCUGGUCUGUAACUGACGCUGAGGAGCGAAAGCGUGGGGAGCGAACAGGAUUAGAUACCCUGGUAGUCCACGCCGUAAACGAUGAGUGCUAAGUGUUAGGGGGUUUCCGCCCCUUAGUGCUGCAGCUAACGCAUUAAGCACUCCGCCUGGGGAGUACGGUCGCAAGACUGAAACUCAAAGGAAUUGACGGGGGCCCGCACAAGCGGUGGAGCAUGUGGUUUAAUUCGAAGCAACGCGAAGAACCUUACCAGGUCUUGACAUCCUCUGACAAGGGGGGAGAUAGGGCUUUCCCUUCGGGGACAGAGUGACAGGUGGUGCAUGGUUGUCGUCAGCUCGUGUCGUGAGAUGUUGGGUUAAGUCCCGCAACGAGCGCAACCCUUGAUCUUAGUUGCCAGCAUUCAGUUGGGCACUCUAAGGUGACUGCCGGUGACAAACCGGA